GAUGAACGCUGGCGGCGUGCCUAAUACAUGCAAGUCGAGCGAAUGGAUUAAGAGCUUGCUCUUAUGAAGUUAGCGGCGGACGGGUGAGUAACACGUGGGUAACCUGCCCAUAAGACUGGGAUAACUCCGGGAAACCGGGGCUAAUACCGGAUAACAUUUUGAACCGCAUGGUUCGAAAUUGAAAGGCGGCUUCGGCUGUCACUUAUGGAUGGACCCGCGUCGCAUUAGCUAGUUGGUGAGGUAACGGCGCACCAAGGCAACGAUGCGUAGCCGAACGGAGAGGGUGAUCGGCCACACUGGGACUGAGACACGGCCCAGACUCCUACGGGAAGCAGCAGUAGGGAAUCUUCCGCAAUGGACGAAAGUCUGACGGAGCAACGCCGCGUGAGUGAUGAAGGCUUUCGGGUCGUAAAACUCUGUUGUUAGGGAAGAACAAGUGCUAGUUGAAUAAGCUGGCACCUUGACGGUACCUAACCAGAAAGCCACGGCUAACUACGUGCCAGCCGCCGCCGUAA
rnacentral:rRNA from 1 species